rnacentral:rRNA from 1 species
ACGUAGGGGGCAAGCGUUGUCCGGAAUUAUUGGGCGUAAAGGGCGCGCAGGCGGUCCUCUAAGUCUGAUGUGAAAGCCCACGGCUCAACCGUGGAAGGUCAUUGGAAACUGGGGGACUUGAGUGCAGGAGAGGAGAGUGGAAUUCCACGUGUAGCGGUGAAAUGCGUAGAGAUGUGGAGGAACACCAGUGGCGAAGGCGGCUCUCUGGCCUGUAACUGACGCUGAGGCGCGAAAGCGUGGGUAGCGAACAGGA